rnacentral:rRNA from 1 species
AUUGAACGCUGGCGGCAUGCCUUACACAUGCAAGUCGAACGGCAGCACGGGAGCAAUCCUGGUGGCGAGUGGCGAACGGGUGAGUAAUGUAUCGGAACGUGCCCAGUCGUGGGGGAUAACCUAGCGAAAGCUACGCUAAUACCGCAUACGAUCUAUGGAUGAAAGCGGGGGAUCGCAAGACCUCGCGCGAUUGGAGCGGCCGAUAGCAGAUUCAGUAGUUGGGGGGGUAAAGGCUCACCAAGCCGACGACCUGGAGCUGGUCUGAGAGGCCGACCAGCCACACUGGGACGGAGACACGGCCCAGACUCCUAAGGGAGGCAGCAGUGGGGAAUUGUGGACAAUGGGCGCAAGCCUGAUCCAGCAAUGCCGCGUGCAGGAUGAAGGCCUUCGGGUUGUAAACUGCUUUUGUACGGAACGAAACGGCGAGCUCUAAUACAGUUUGCUAAUGACGGUACCGUAAGAAUAAGCACCGGCUAACUACGUGCCAGCCGCCGCAGUAA